rnacentral:rRNA from 1 species
UACGAAGGGGGCUAGCGUUGUUCGGAAUUACUGGGCGUAAAGCGCGCGCAGGCGGUCCUUCAAGUCAGAGGUGAAAGCCCAGAGCUCAACUCUGGAAUGGCCUUUGAGACUAGAGGACUUGGGUACGGGAGAGGUGAGUGGAAUUCCGAGUGUAGAGGUGAAAUUCGUAGAUAUUCGGAAGAACACCAGUGGCGAAGGCGGCUCUCUGGGACGGUACUGACGCUGAGACGCGAAAGCGUGGGGAGCGAACAGG